rnacentral:rRNA from 1 species
UACGGAGGAUGCAAGCGUUAUCCGGAUUUAUUGGGUUUAAAGGGUGCGUAGGCGGUUUUGUAAGUCAGUGGUGAAAUGCUUUAGCUUAACUAAAGCACUGCCAUUGAUACUGCGGAACUUGAGUAUAGUUGACGAAGGCGGAAUGUGUCAUGUAGCGGUGAAAUGCAUAGAUAUGACCCAGAACACCGAUUGCGAAGGCAGCUUUCGAAACUAAAACUGACGCUGAUGCACGAAAGCAUGGGGAGCAAACAGG